UACGGAGGGGGCAAGCGUUGUCCGGAUUUAUUGGGCGUAAAGAGCGUGUAGGCGGCCAUGCAGGUCCGUUGUGAAAACUCGAGGCUCAACCUCGAGACGCCGGUGGAAACCGCAUGGUUAGAGUCCGGAAGAGGAGAGUGGAAUUCCUGGUGUAGCGGUGAAAUGCGCAGAUAUCAGGAAGAACACCCGUGGCGAAGGCGGCCCUCUGGGACGUGACUGACGCUGAGACGCGAAAGCGUGGGGAGCAAACAGG
rnacentral:rRNA from 1 species